GGUGAAUAAUGCUGGAAUUGUCAUUCCAGACUCCAUAGAGACAGUCCAACUACAAAACUUCGAUCAAGUAUUUCGUAUAAAUGUACGAGCACCUUUCCAGUUACUACACCUUGCUUGUCCGCAUCUCAUUAAAACAAAAGGAAGUGUUGUGAAUAUCUCAAGUGUAGCCGGCAUAAGAGCUUUUCCUGGUAUAUUAAGCUAUUGUAUGUCAAAGAGUACUUUAGAUCAUAUGACUGCUAGUGCAGCUCAAG